rnacentral:ncRNA from 1 species
AAUAGUUUAAUUAAUAAUUUAAAAAAAUUAUAUAUUUAUAAAAAUUUAUUUUUAAAAGAUUAUAAAAUUAAUUAUUAAUAUUAAUAAUAAAAGAAAUUUUUAUUUAGAAAUUUAAUUAAGUAUUAACAAAAUUUGUGCCAGCAGUUGCGGUUAUACAAAUAAUAUAAUAAAUAUUUUUUAAUUUAUAAUUUAUUGUUAAUUUUUAAUUUAAAAAUUUAAUUUUUAGGUGAAAUUAAAAAUUAAAUUUAAUUUUAAUUUUAAAAUUUGAGUUAUUAAAUCUUUUAAUUAAACUAGGAUUAGAUACCCUAUUAUAGAAGAAGUAAGUUAAAAGUUGGAUUAGUAAUAGAUAUAUUCUCGAAAAUUAAAAAAUUUGGCGGUAUUUUAGUCUUUUUAGAGGAACCUGUUUUUUAAUUGAUAACCCACGAUAAAUUAAACUUUAAUUUUUAGUUUAUAUAUCGUCGUAGUUUAAUAUUUUUUUAGAAUAAUAUUAAUAAUUUUUUAUUAAAAAUAUAAUCAGAUCAUGAUGUAAUUUAUAUUAAAGUAAUAAUGGGUUACAAUAAAAUUAUUUAUAUGGAUUUAUAGUUGAAAAAUUAUAUUAAAGGUGGAUUUAAUAGUAAAAUAAAUUAUUUAAUUUAUUUGAUUAAAGCUCUAAAGUAUGUACAUAUUGCCCGUCGCUCUAAUUUUAAAAUUAGAUAAGUCGUAACAUAGUAGAUUUACCGGAAGGUGUAUCUAGAAUUAC